rnacentral:rRNA from 1 species
GAGUUUGAUCCUGGCUCANGAUGAACGCUGGCGGCGUGCCUAACACAUGCAAGUCGAGCGAAAAGUUAAAGAAUGAUCCUUCNGGUGAAUGAUUUGAUGGACAGCGGCGGACGGGUGAGUAACGCGUGGAUAACCUGCCUUAUACUGGGGGAUAACGUUUUGAAAAGAACGCUAAUACCGCAUAAGCGCACAGCACCGCAUGGUGUAGUGUGAAAAACUCCGGUGGUAUAAGAUGGAUCCGCGUCAGAUUAGCUAGUUGGUGAGAUAAAAGCUCACCAAGGCGACGAUCUGUAGCCGACCUGAGAGGGUGAUCGGCCACAUUGGGACUGAGACACGGCCCAAACUCCUACGGGAGGCAGCAGUGGGGAAUAUUGCACAAUGGAGGAAACUCUGAUGCAGCGACGCCGCGUGAAGGAUGAAGGUUUUCGGAUCGUAAACUUCUAUCAGCAGGGAAGAUAGUGACUGUACCUGACUAAGAAGCCCCGGCUAACUACGUGCCAGCAGCCGCGGUAAUACGUAGGGGGCAAGCGUUAUCCGGAAUUACUGGGUGUAAAGGGUGCGUAGGCGGUUUAAUAAGUCAGAUGUGAAAGCCCGGAGCUCAACUCCGGGACUGCAUUUGAAACUGUUUAACUAGAAUACAGGAGAGGUAAGUGGAAUUCCUAGUGUAGCGGUGAAAUGCGUAGAUAUUAGGAGGAACACCAGUGGCGAAGGCGACUUACUGGACUGUUAUUGACGCUGAGGCACGAAAGCGUGGGGAGCAAACAGGAUUAGAUACCCUG